UAUNGGUCAAUGGACGAGAGUCUGAACCAGCNAAGUAGCGUGAAGGAUGACUGCCCUAUGGGUUGUAAACUUCUUUUAUAUGGGAAUAAAGUUUGGUAUGUAUACCAUUUUGUAUGUACCAUAUGAAUAAGGAUCGGCUAACUCCGUGCCAGCAGCCGCGGUAAUACGGAGGAUCCGAGCGUUAUCCGGAUUUAUUGGGUUUAAAGGGAGCUUAGGUGGAUUGUUAAGUCAGUUGUGAAAGUUUGCGGCUCAACCGUAAAAUUGCAGUUGAAACUGGCAGUCUUGAGUACAGUAGAGGUGGGCGGAAUUCGUGGUGUAGCGGUGAAAUGCUUAGAUAUCACGAAGAACUCCGAUUGCGAAGGCAGCCUGCUGGACUGUAACUGACGCUGAUGCUCGAAAGUGUGGGUAUCAAAC
rnacentral:rRNA from 1 species